rnacentral:rRNA from 1 species
AUUGAACGCUGGCGGCAGGCCUAACACAUGCAAGUCGAGCGGAGCGGCGGACGGGUGCGUAAUGCCGAGGAAUCUGCCUGGUAGUGGGGGAUAACGUCCGGAAACGGGCGCUAAUACCGCAUACUAUCAGAUGAGCCUAGGUCGGAUUAGCUAGUGGUUGGGGUAAAGGCCUACCAAGGCGACGAUCCGUAACUGGUCUGAGAGGAUGAGCAGGCACACUGGAAUUGAGACGCGGUCCAGACUCAUACGGGAGGCGACAUUGGAGAAUAUUGGACAAUGGGCGAAGGCCUUGUCCAGCCAUGCCGCGUGUGGUAAGAAGGUCUUCGGAUUGUAAAGCACUUUUAGUUGGGAGGCGUUACCAACAGAAUAAGCACCGGCUAACUUCGUGCCAGCAGCCGCGGUAAUUC